ACACACAGAGGCAUAUCCCCCCACAUAUGCAGCACACAUACACACACACACAGAGGCAUAUCCCCCCACAUAUGCAGCGUGCAGAAUCAGAACCUUUUUUUCUCUAUAUCCUCUGAAGAACAGCCAAAAGAGAAUGAAAUAGACCCCAACUAGGUACUGGGAACCACCAUUCCAUCAUAGCGUGUGGUCCUUAGCACAGAAAUAUGUGGCUGUCCCCCGAGGUAGACUGAGCAGCAGACGGAACUCUUUUUCCCUUAGGGAGGAAGGGCCCACGAUGGUGAUGUGCCUGCUUCACAAGCCUGCAAAUGAGUAAGGAAACACAAGCCUCUGAGGGCAAGGAAAUCGAAAGAGUGUAAAGGGGCACAUUUUACAGCUACACCUUCACCCACUUUGACUGUGUCUUGGUUCCUGAUUUCUAAAAGAUCCAAAGGGCCAGAGGGACACUGUCUUCCAUGGGAAAGGAAGCAUACAAAAGGAACAGAAACUUCUCUGCAAAGCAUCAGUACAAACCCACUGGCCUGGAAUGAUAUUUAUCCUCUUAAUUAUGUUUUGCAAAAGACUGAUAAUAAAAGCAAUUUUCUAAGGAAAGGCUAAGAAAGUGUUUCAGAAUAAAAAAAGACUAAAG
rnacentral:lncRNA from 1 species